UCGUGGAAUGAUUUGUCUGGUUAAUUCAGUUAACGAACGAGACUUUAACUUGCUAGUUGGAAUACAUGCUAUUCUGCAUGAAUUCCUCUAGAAGGACCAUGUGUAUCUAACACAAGGAAGCGUGAAGCAGUAACA
rnacentral:rRNA from 1 species